rnacentral:rRNA from 1 species
UAUUGGACAAUGGGCGCAAGCCUGAUCCAGCAAUGCCGCGUGUGUGAAGAAGGCCUUCGGGUUGUAAAGCACUUUUAUCAGGAGCGAAAUACCACGGGUUAAUACUCUAUGGGGCUGACGGUACCUGAGGAAUAAGCACCGGCUAACUUCGUGCCAGCAGCCGCGGUAAUACGAAGGGUGCAAGCGUUAAUCGGAAUUACUGGGCGUAAAGGGUGCGUAGGCGGUUAGUUAAGUCUGUUGUGAAAGCCCCGGGCUCAACCUGGGAAUGGCAAUGGAUACUGGCUAGCUAGAGUGUGUCAGAGGAUGGUGGAAUUCCCGGUGUAGCGGUGAAAUGCGUAGAGAUCGGGAGGAACAUCAGUGGCGAAGGCGGCCAUCUGGGACAACACUGACGCUGAAGCACGAAAGCGUGGGGAGCAAACAGGA